rnacentral:rRNA from 1 species
GGAUUCCCUUAGUAGCUGCGAGCGAACAGGGAGAAGCCCAGCACUGAAUCCCGUGGCCGGUAACGGACGCUGGGAAAUGUAGUGUUAGGGAGGAUCCAUUUAUCCCAAGAUUGUGCAGUGCGUCCAAGUCCUUCUUGAACGGGGCCACAGCCCAUAGAGGGUGCCAGGCCCGUAGUGACCACUGCCGAUCGUGGGAGGAUCUCUCCUCAGAGUCGGGUUGCUUGAGAGUGCAGCCCUAAGUGGGUGGUAAACUCCAUCUAAGGCUAAAUAUGACCACGAGACCGAUAGCGAACAAGUACCGUGAGGGAAAGUUGAAAAGCACUUUGAAGAGAGAGUUAAAGAGUACGUGAAACCGUUCAGGGGUAAACCUGAGAAACCCGAAAGGUCGAAAGGGGAAAUUCAAUCGUGUCUCGAUUUUGUUGGCAAGAGGUGAUUGUAUGACAGCUGGUGUUCGCAUCACGUUGCAUCUGUCGCCUUUUGAACUGACGUCGAAUGCGUGCACUUUUCCCCUAGUAGGACGUCGCGAUCCAUUGGGUGUCGGCCUAAGGCCCGUGGUGAUGCCUGGUCGAACUGGCUUUMGCCUCUUCGACUAGACCCAUGGUGCUACCCGGCCGACUCGCCCGAUGGUAUACAGAUGGCGGAGAGCCGCGACAUUCAGUUCGCGUUCGGCCCAUAGCAAGCACAUUUGUUGUGUUGGCAAUCGGACCUAGUGCCGAUUCCGACCUCGAGUGUCUGUUGGUUGUGGUGUUCUCGAACAGACUCUCACAAUUUUGAAAUGCCUAUCUGCGGCGCUAUAGCUUUGGGUACUUUCAGGACCCGUCUUGAAACACGGACCAAGGAGUCUAGCAUGUGCGCAAGUCAUUGGGGUAUGACUAAACCUAAAGGCACAAUGAAAGUGAAGGUUCGUCUUGCGCGAACCAAGGGAGGAUGGGUGGUUCAUGAAAGUGGCCACUCCGCACUCCCGGGGCGUCUCAUUCUCAUUGCGAGAAGAGGCGCACCAAGAGCGUACACGCUGGGACCCGAAAGAUGGUGAACUAUGCCUGGUCAGGACGAAGUCAGGGGAAACCCUGAUGGAGGUCCGUAGCGAUUCUGACGUGCAAAUCGAUCGUCGGAACUAGGUAUAGGGGCGAAAGACCAAUCGAACCAUCUAGUAGCUGGUUCCCUCCGAAGUUUCCCUCAGGAUAGCUGGCGCUCAUUGCGCACGAGUCUCAUCCGGUAAAGCGAAUGAUUAGAGGCAUUGGGGUCGAAACGACCUCAACCUAUUCUCAAACUUUAAAUGGGUGAGAUCUCCGGCUUGCUCGAAAUAUUAACUAAUAUGAAGCCGAGAGACACGGAUCAGAGUGCCAAGUGGGCCAUUUUUG